GUGAAAACGACACUGACGCUUUUACACAGUGACGAGAAAAAAACAGAAGGGAAGAAAAGGGCACGCGCGCCUCUCGCUCUUAAAGGGACAGCGCGCGAGCGGUAUGAGGGUUUGAUUCGGAAUCGUUUAACGGACGGUCGACGUGCGAGUUCUCCGGAGCCUUACAGCUUCAGCGCUCGUACAGAUCUGAUGUGAUGUGAUGUGAUCAGACGUGACUGUGAGCUCAGGGCUCUGUCAGCUCUCCACUGAAACAGAUACCCGCAAAGCCAAAAAGAAAUGAAAACCGACCCUGGAUCUAUCAACAGCCGUAUGACUAAUUUAUCACACUCUUACUGAGACUUUAUUAUGGACAUUUAAAUGAAGCAGUUCAAGCAUUUUAACCGAGAGCCAAAUUAAAUUUUAAACUCCACAGCAGAUUUAAGGAUCGCAGCAGCAAUGAAAUACAACUUCUGAUGUUUUAUAUCUCA